GUGCUUGCUCUGGCAGCACAAAUACUAAAACUGGAAGGAUACAGAGACAAUUAGCAUGGCCCCUAUGAAAAAAUGACAUGCAAAUCCUUGAAGGGACUCAUAUUGUU
ensembl:snRNA U6 U6 spliceosomal RNA